rnacentral:rRNA from 1 species
CCUACGGGAGGCAGCAGUGGGGAAUAUUGGACAAUGGGGGCAACCCUGAUCCAGCCAUGCCGCGUGUGUGAAGAAGGCCCUCGGGUUGUAAAGCACUUUCAGUGAGGAAGAACGCCUGGUGGUUAAUACCCAUCAGGAAAGACAUCACUCACAGAAGAAGCACCGGCUAACUCCGUGCCAGCAGCCGCGGUAAUACGGAGGGUGCGAGCGUUAAUCGGAAUUACUGGGCGUAAAGCGCGCGUAGGUGGCUUGAUAAGCCGGUUGUGAAAGCCCCGGGCUCAACCUGGGAACGGCAGCCGGAACUGUCAAGCUAGAGUGCAGGAGAGGAAGGUAGAAUUCCCGGUGUAGCGGUGAAAUGCGUAGAGAUCGGGAGGAACACCAGUGGCGAAGGCGGCCUUCUGGACUGACACUGACACUGAGGUGCGAAAGCGUGGGUAGCAAACAGGAUUAGAUACCCGGGUAGUC